rnacentral:rRNA from 1 species
CCUACGGGAGGCAGCAGUGAGGAAUAUUGGUCAAUGGCCGAGAGGCUGAACCAGCCAAGUCGCGUGAGGGAAGACGGCCCUACGGGUUGUAAACCUCUUUUGUCGGGGAGCAAAGCGAGUCACGUGUGACUCAUUGAGAGUACCCGAAGAAAAAGCAUCGGCUAACUCCGUGCCAGCAGCCGCGGUAAUACGGAGGAUGCAAGCGUUACUCGGAAUCACUGGGCGUAAAGAGCGCGUAGGCGGGAUAGCAAGUCAGAUGUGAAAUCCUAUGGCUUAACCAUAGAACUGCAUUUGAAACUGUUAUUCUAGAGUAUGGGAGAGGUAGGUGGAAUUCUUGGUGUAGGGGUAAAAUCCGUAGAGAUCAUACAGAACACCGAUUGCGAAGGCAGCUUACCAAACUACGACUGACGUUGAGGCACGAAAGCGUGGGGAGCAAACAGGAUUAGAUACCCCUGUAGUC